rnacentral:rRNA from 1 species
CGCCUCUUGCUUAAGCAUAAGAGGUCUAGCCUGCCCAGUGACCCCUGUUCAACGGCCGCGGUAUCCUAACCACGCGAAGGUAGCGCAAUCAAUUGUCUCCUAAAUAGGGACUUGUAUGAAUGGCAUUACGAGAAUUUAACUGUCUCCCCUCUCUAAUCUGUGAAACUAAUCUCCCUGUGAAAAAGCAGGACUAUCUUCAUAAGACGAGAAGACCCUGUGGAACUUCAAACAAGUAACAAAUGCUCCAUUUUAGCCCUUAUACUGAGGCUUUCCCCACCCGAGCACUCUGAUUACAAGUUUUCGGCUGGGGCGACCAUGGAGAAAAACUCACCCCCCAUGUUGUGAACCUCAAAUUCAAACCCACAAGCUACAGCUUUACGAAUCAAUAAACUGGCAUCCAUUGACCCAAAUACUUGAUCAACGAACCAAGCUACCCCAGGGAUAACAGCGCAAUCCACCUUGAGAGCACAUAUCGACAAGUGGGCUUACGACCUCGAUGUUGGAUCAGGGUACCCCUGUGGCGCAGCCGCUACUAAAGGUUCGUUUGUUCAACGAUUAAAACCCU